UGCGCAGGUGGGGAUGUAAGUCAGUGGUGAAAUGUUGCCGCUCAACGGUAAAAUUGCCAUUGAUACUGCAUCUCUUGAGUAUGGUUGAGGUAGGCGGAAUGUGUUGUGUAGCGGUGAAAUGCAUAGAUAUGACACAGAACACCGAUUGCGAAGGCAGCUUACUAAGCCAUUACUGACGCUGAGGCACGAAAGCGUGGGUAGCAAACAGGAUUAGAUACCCUGGUAGUCC
rnacentral:rRNA from 1 species